rfam:Canis lupus familiaris chromosome 12, whole genome shotgun sequence.
AGGAGCAACAGCCCCAGUGGCGGGGCCAGCUCCGGAGCCCUGGGUUCAGCCCCCGCAGGAACUCCGGAGCUCUCCGUCUGCAGGGCCUGGAGGCUCCGGGGCGGG